rnacentral:rRNA from 1 species
AAGUCGUAACAAGGUCUCCGUUGGUGAACCAGCGGAGGGAUCAUUACCGAGUUUACAACUCCCAAACCCCUGUGAACAUACCUUAUUGUUGCCUCGGCGGAUCAGCCCGCUCCCCGUAAAACGGGACGGCCCGCCAGAGGACCCAAACUCUAUUGUAUUUAGUGUAUCUUCUGAGUAACACAAACAAAUAAAUCAAAACUUUCAACAACGGAUCUCUUGGUUCUGGCAUCGAUGAAGAACGCAGCAAAAUGCGAUAAGUAAUGUGAAUUGCAGAAUUCAGUGAAUCAUCGAAUCUUUGAACGCACAUUGCGCCCGCCAGUAUUCUGGCGGGCAUGCCUGUUCGAGCGUCAUUUCAACCCUCAAACCCUCGGGUUUGGUGUUGGGGAUCGGAUUGCUAGUCAAUCCGUCUCCGAAAUCUAGUGGCGGUCUCGCUGCAGCCUCCAUUGCGUAGUAGCUAACACCUCGCAACUGGAACGCGGCGCGGCCAUGCCGUUAAACACCCAACUUCUGAAUGUUGACCUCGGAUCAGGUAGGAAUACCCGCUGAACUUAA